ACCCAGCCGACGAAUCCCAGAUAGGACGAAACACCUGUCCUAGAU
rnacentral:hammerhead_ribozyme from 1 species